CAUUGUCGUGGACCCUGACCAAAAUAGACCGUGAACGCGUAACCCAGCCCGCCGUCGGCGACUGCACCUCGUCGUUCGGCCAAGUCCUCGACAACCUCCUCUCCUCGGAGCGGGGGCUCGGGGUAAAAGAACCCACGGCGCCUAAGGCGUCAAGGAACACUGUGCCUAACUCGGGGGCGCGGCUGGCUUGCUGGCCGCCCCCCGUGUUGCAAAGCUAUAUAAUCCACACGACUCUCGGCAACGGAUAUCUCGGCUCUCGCAUCGAUGAAGAACGUAGCGAAAUGCGAUACCUGGUGUGAAUUGCAGAAUCCCGCGAACCAUCGAGUCUUUGAACGCAAGUUGCGCCCGAGGCCAUUCGGCCGAGGGCACGCCUGCCUGGGCGUCACGCCAAACACGCUCCCAACCCCCCUCAUCGGGGAUCGGGAUGCGGCAUGUGGCUCCCCGUCUCGCAAGUGGCGGUGGGCC
rnacentral:misc_RNA from 1 species